UUAAGUUAAUAAGGGCGCACGGUGGAUGCCUUGGCACUAGAAGCCGAAGAAGGACGUGACUAACGACGAAAUGCUUUGGGGAGCUGUAAGUAAGCGCUGAUCCAGAGAUGUCCGAAUGGGGGAACCCACUAGUUAAUGACUAGUAUCCAUAUCUGUUAAGGAUAUGAGAAGGAAGACGCAGUGAACUGAAACAUCUAAGUAGCUGCAGGAAGAGAAAGCAAAAGCGAUUGCCUUAGUAGCGGCGAGCGAAACGGCAGGAGGGCAAACCGAAGUGUUUACACUUCGGGGUUGUAGGACUGCGAUAUAGGAUUAAUCAUUAUAGAAGAAUUACCUGGGAAGGUAAGCCAAAGAGAGUAACAGCCUCGUAUUUAAAAUGAUAGAUUAACCUUAGCAGUAUCCUGAGUACGGCGAGACACGCGAAAUCUCGUCGGAAUCUGGGAGGACCAUCUCCCAACCCUAAAUACUCUCUAGUGACCGAUAGUGAACCAGUACCGUGAGGGAAAGGUGAAAAGCACCCCGGGAGGGGAGUGAAAUAGAACCUGAAACCGUGUGCCUACAACAAGUUCGAGCCCGUUAAUGGGUGAGAGCGUGCCUUUUGUAGAAUGAACCGGCGAGUUACGAUAUGAUGCGAGGUUAAGUUGAAGAGACGGAGCCGUAGGGAAACCGAGUCUUAAUAGGGCGCCAUAGUAUCAUGUUGUAGACCCGAAACCAUGUGACCUACCCAUGAGCAGGUUGAAGGUGAGGUAAAACUCACUGGAGGACCGAACCAGGGCACGUUGAAAAGUGCUUGGAUGACUUGUGGGUAGCGGAGAAAUUCCAAACGAACUUGGAGAUAGCUGGUUCUCUCCGAAAUAGCUUUAGGGCUAGCGUCGAUGUUAAGUCUCUUGGAGGUAGAGCACUGUUUGGGUGAGGGGUCCAUCCCGGAUUACCAAUCUCAGAUAAACUCCGAAUGCCAACGAGAUAUAAUCGGCAGUCAGACUGCGAGUGCUAAGAUCCGUAGUCGAAAGGGAAACAGCCCAGACCACCAGCUAAGGUCCCAAAAUAUAUGUUAAGUGGAAAAGGAUGUGGGGUUGCACAGACAACUAGGAUGUUAGCUUAGAAGCAGCUAUUCAUUCAAAGAGUGCGUAAUAGCUCACUAGUCGAGUGACCCUGCGCCGAAAAUGUACCGGGGCUAAAACAUAUUACCGAAGCUGUGGAUGACACAAAAGUGUCAUGGUAGGAGAGCGUUCUAUGUGUGAAGAAGGUGUACCGUGAGGAGCGCUGGAACGCAUAGAAGUGAGAAUGCCGGUAUGAGUAGCGCAAGACAGGUGAGAAUCCUGUCCACCGUAAGACUAAGGUUUCCAGGGGAAGGCUCGUCCGCCCUGGGUUAGUCGGGACCUAAGGAGAGACCGAAAGGUGUAUCCGAUGGACAACAGGUUGAUAUUCCUGUACUAGAGUAUAUAGUGAUGGAGGGACGCAGUAGGCUAACUAAACCAGACGAUUGGAAGUGUCUGGUCAAACAGUGAGGUGUGAUAUGAGUCAAAUGCUUAUAUCUUUAACAUUGAGCUGUGACGAGGAGCGAAGUUUAGUAGCGAAGUUAGUGAUGUCACACUGCCAAGAAAAGCUUCUAGCGAUACAUAUACUCUACCCGUACCGCAAACCGACACAGGUAGUCGAGGCGAGUAGCCUCAGGUGAGCGAGAGAACUCUCGUUAAGGAACUCGGCAAAAUGGCCCCGUAACUUCGGGAGAAGGGGCGCUGAUUUUAGAUCAGCCGCAGUGAAUAGGCCCAAGCAACUGUUUAUCAAAAACACAGCUCUCUGCUAAAUCGUAAGAUGAUGUAUAGGGGGUGACGCCUGCCCGGUGCUGGAAGGUUAAGAGGAGUGCUUAGCGUAAGCGAAGGUAUGAAUUGAAGCCCCAGUAAACGGCGGCCGUAACUAUAACGGUCCUAAGGUAGCGAAAUUCCUUGUCGGGUAAGUUCCGACCCGCACGAAAGGCGUAAUGAUUUGGGCACUGUCUCAACGAGAGACUCGGUGAAAUUUUAGUACCUGUGAAGAUGCAGGUUACCCGCGACAGGACGGAAAGACCCCAUGGAGCUUUACUGCAGUUUGAUAUUGAGUAUCUGUACCACAUGUACAGGAUAGGUAGGAGCCUAUGAUAACGGGACGCCAGUUUCGUUUGAGGCGUUGUUGGGAUACUACCCUUGUGUUAUGGCUACUCUAACCCAGAUAGG
rnacentral:rRNA from 1 species